AGAUGAGGGUAGCAUGGCAAUAUGCACAGAUUGAAGUUCCAGCUCUGCUUUUCUGCUCCUAUUGAUGCCUUCCUUCUUGAGGGCUCUGAUAUGGGGGCCUGAUUAUGACCUACAUAU
rfam:Citrus sinensis cultivar Ridge Pineapple sweet orange scaffold00498_contig_5, whole genome shotgun sequence.